rnacentral:rRNA from 1 species
GACGAACGCUGGCGGCGUGCUUAACACAUGCAAGUCGAACGGUAAGGCCCUUCGGGGUCCACGAGUGGCGAACGGGUGAGUAACACGUGGGUGAUCUGCCCUGCACUUCGGGAUAAGCAUGGGAAACUGGGACUAAUACCGGAUAGGACCAAUGCCUGCAUGGGAGGUGGUGGCAAGCUUUUGCGGUGUGGGAUGGGCCCGCGGCCUAUCAGCUUGUUGGUGGGGUGAUGGCCUACCAAGGCGACGACGGGUAGCCGGCCUGAGAGGGUGACCGGCCACACUGGGACUGAGAUACGGCCCAGACGCCUACGGGAGGAAGCAGUGGGGAAUAUUGCACAAUGGGCGCAAGCCUGAUGCAGCGACGCCGCGUGAGGGAUGACGGCCUUCGGGUUGUAAACCUCGUUCAGCACCGACGAAGCGCAAGUGACGGUAGGUGCAGAAGAAGGACCGGCCAACUACGUGCCAGCCGCCGCUGUAA